UACGAAGGGGGCUAGCGUUGUUCGGAUUUACUGGGCGUAAAGCGCACGUAGGCGGAUCGUUAAGUCGGGGGUGAAAUCCUGGAGCUCAACUCCAGAACUGCCUUCGAUACUGGAAGACUCGAGUCCGGGAGAGGUGAGUGGAACUGCGAGUGUAGAGGUGAAAUUCGUAGAUAUUCGGAAGAACACCAGUGGCGAAGGCGGCUCACUGGACCGGCAUUGACGCUGAGGUGCGAAAGCGUGGGGAGCAAACAGG
rnacentral:rRNA from 1 species